CUAAACGAGGAUGCAUGUAUGGGAUCCAAGAGCAACGGUGAGGAGUGGAGGUCAAAGGACCUCUGCUUUGUCUUAGGAAGUUAUCUCUAACCAGGAAUCAUGUUAUUUCCCCCUGCUUUAGGUGGGAUGGGAGAUGGCACGGAGCGAAGACCCCCAGAUCUCCUUAACCAUGGCUUUAAUAUACUCCUCAAAUUUGGAACAAUGAGGGAAUGAAUUUCUCAGAUGUGCAUGGUAAUCAGUGCUGAAGAAAAUUUCUGCCCAGGACUUCAUCUGGAGUUUCUGACAUCUCCUGCCUAUGUGUAGGGGUGAGAGGAGCUGGAAAAGCUGCUGUGCCAUAGCCAUAAACUUCAGUGUUCCACUGUUGUGAUGAUAAGACAAAGGAAACCUGUUAGAUGUGGCGUAGUAUUCCUUUAGACACGUGCAUAGCUGAACAGAAGAUGUUGCUAUCCAACUCUGUGUCACAGGCUCUGCAUCCUGCCCGCCCUCCCCUAACACUGCAGAUACAGGGCUGCAAAGAAGGAAGAAGAAACCUCUGACCCUCCCAG
ensembl:lncRNA